GGCGAUCCAAAAGUCACAAAAUUUUCGUACUGAUCAUUGUAAACAGCGCCAGAGCCUUUCCAAAUUUUUUGUGCGCCUGUAUGAGAAAGUUGCUCAAUCGUGAAAGAAACGGCGAGAAUACUCUCUGAGCAUUCGUAUGAACGCUCUGAGUGUUUGGGUCUUAGGGAAUCUCCCCCUUAGACUUUCUUCUCCAUUAUUUGUGGAUAUUUUGCUUCUAGAUGUGGAUGAGUGUUUAGACUAUGCCACCAUAUGCCCUCUGGGAAGCUGUGUGAACACACUGGGGUCCUAUUUCUGUGCAGAGAUUCCAGCGGGAUUGCAGACCACAGGCCUCCCUUGGGAAACACAGGCAGCACAUGGGAACUGGAUGCCAUUCCAGCCAACAUCAGUAAUGCCCCAGACAUCUGAGUCACUGACUACUGGUGACUACUUAAGUGGUGCUACAUGGGCAGAACUGAGAUGUACUGACUGCACUUGCCAGGUAGGUACCCGUAUACAGAAGCCAAAUACAAUCCCUUUGUAUAAUGCAUACUUGUUUGUUAAAUUAAGUCAUUUCUCAGGAUGGAAAUGUAUCUUGUGAAAAAAGGAUAUGCACCCCAAACAGUUCACACCCCGUCAUGUAUCUUGACAGCUGACGGAUGCCUUUUUGAGGGAGUUUCUGGGGUAGAUGGAGAGCUUUUCCCAAAUUCUCCAGACAAUUGCACAAUCUGCAUCUGCCUGGCUGGAAAUGUCACAUGUAUCCCUCCUGUGUGCCCUCCUGUUACAUGCACUGACCCCUUCCUAUCAGACUGC